AGAGUUUGAUCCUGGCUCAGGAUGAACGCUGGCGGCGUGCCUAAUACAUGCAAGUCGAGCGAAUGGAUUAAGAGCUUGCUCUUAUGAAGUUAGCGGCGGACGGGUGAGUAACACGUGGGUAACCUGCCCAUAAGACUGGGAUAACUCCGGGAAACCGGGGCUAAUACCGGAUAACAUUUUGAACUGCAUGGUUCGAAAUUGAAAGGCGGCUUCGGCUGUCACUUAUGGAUGGACCCGCGUCGCAUUAGCUAGUUGGUGAGGUAACGGCUCACCAAGGCAACGAUGCGUAGCCGACCUGAGAGGGUGAUCGGCCACACUGGGACUGAGACACGGCCCAGACUCCUACGGGAGGCAGCAGUAGGGAAUCUUCCGCAAUGGACGAAAGUCUGACGGAGCAACGCCGCGUGAGUGAUGAAGGCUUUCGGGUCGUAAAACUCUGUUGUUAGGGAAGAACAAGUGCUAGUUGAAUAAGCUGGCACCUUGACGGUACCUAACCAGAAAGCCACGGCUAACUACGUGCCAGCAGCCGCGGUAAUACGUAGGUGGCAAGCGUUAUCCGGAAUUAUUGGGCGUAAAGCGCGCGCAGGUGGUUUCUUAAGUCUGAUGUGAAAGCCCACGGCUCAACCGUGGAGGGUCAUUGGAAACUGGGAGACUUGAGUGCAGAAGAGGAAAGUGGAAUUCCAUGUGUAGCGGUGAAAUGCGUAGAGAUAUGGAGGAACACCAGUGGCGAAGGCGACUUUCUGGUCUGUAACUGACACUGAGGCGCGAAAGCGUGGGGGAGCAAACAGGAUUAGAUACCCUGGUAGUCCACGCCGUAAACGAUGAGUGCUAAGUGUUAGAGGGUUUCCGCCCUUUAGUGCUGAAGUUAACGCAUUAAGCACUCCGCCUGGGGGAGUACGGCCGCAAGGCUGAACUCAAAGGAAUUGACGGGGCCGGCACAAGCGGUGGAACAUUGUGGUUUAAUUCCGAGGCAACGCGAAGAAG
rnacentral:rRNA from 1 species